rnacentral:rRNA from 1 species
GAUGAACGCUGGCGGCGUGCCUAAUACAUGCAAGUCGAGCGAACGGACGAGAAGCUUGCUUCUCUGAUGUUAGCGGCGGACGGGUGAGUAACACGUGGAUAACCUACCUAUAAGACUGGGAUAACUUCGGGAAACCGGAGCUAAUACCGGAUAAUAUUUUGAACCGCAUGGUUCAAAAGCGAAAGACGGUCUUGCUGUCACUUAUAGAUGGAUCCGCGCUGCAUUAGCUAGUUGGUAAGGUAACGGCUUACCAAGGCAACGAUGCAUAGCCGACCUGAGAGGGUGAUCGGCCACACUGGAACUGAGACACGGUCCAGACUCCUACGGGAGGCAGCAGUAGGGAAUCGUCCGCAAUGGGCGAAAGCCUGACGGAGCAACGCCGCGUGAGUGAUGAAGGUCUUCGGAUCGUAAAACUCUGUUAUUAGGGAAAAACAUAUGUGUAAGUAACUGUGCACAUCUUGACGGUACCUAGUCAGAAAGCCACGGCUAACUACGUG